CGGCACUGCUGCAGUGGAAGCAGCUGGAAUGAAGACAGAAUUAGGCACAUGCUGAAACCAAGAGACACCCAGGAGACAGCCAGGGUAGCAAAUUAUCUUUACAAACUGAUAUCCAAGGUACUCAUGGAAUAAGGCAGUUUGUUCCCAUUCUAAAAUGAGGGAAGAGAAUGUACCAGAAUCCGGCAGAAAGUGACUGGUGGAAUGAGAGGAUGAAGUUGGAGGGUAAACAUCUACGGAGCUACAUUUUGCAGUAACAUUUCAGGUUAAACAUUUUUGGCACCAGGCUAUGAAGGUGAUGUGUAUUUCUUAUUGCAUCACCUUGGAAGAUACAUAAUGGCAGACCAUUGCACUACUGGGAAUGUUAAAUUUGAUCAUCUGAUUAAGGCUGGUCUCCAACACGGGCUCAAGUGCUGUAACCCUCCUGCAGAGGCCUCCCUAGUGUUACGGGCUAUGCCACCCUGCCUGUUUUGUUUUGUGACAGGGUCUUGCUAUGUAACCUGGAC